UGCCUAAGGCAUUGUUCCAUUAUGAUGAGGAUGCGAUCGCAUACAUUUCUAGAGAGGAUGUGACGGAAUUUCUAACCGGUUCCAUGCUUAACAUUUCCAUCAUUCAAACUUUCAUGAGGUCACUACAGGAGCUCCUUGCUAGUAAACCCGAUGGUGAAGCAGCAGUUGGGUGGUUAUGCCCCGAGCAGACCUCCGUAACCAAAUGCUUGCAUAACCCUCGUGAUGUGAUAGAUUACCUUGAGCGGGGUAUUAGAGAAUCAAUGCGUGCGGGAAACAAGUUCUUAUUAGCCCCUUGUUUUGAGGAUCUACAUUGGAGCCUUAUGGUGAUUUGUGUUUCCAAUAACACAAUCUACUACUUUGACUCGGCUCGUAUAUGGCCACCAAGGAAGUUGCUAGUGAAUAACCUAUUGAAUAGGUACAUACCGCUUCCUAUAUAUUGUUUUGUAUCAUUACCUAAGUGAUUGAGUGGCUAUGUUCCUAAAUUGUUUGUUAUUUAUUUUUUUAAAGUGUUAUGAAGAAGUUGAAUUGUCGUUCGAUUGCGGGUCCCACGUGGAAAUAUGCGAAGGUAAAGCCUUGAUAUAUUGAUUUAUUUAAUAAAAUUGCCUUGAGUUAUGGCUAUGCAUGACUAUUUUAACUUUGUGUCAUGUUAGUAUGGGCAACAAGACAACAGCGUUGACUGUGCCCUCCACGUGAUGAGGUUUAUGCAUGACAUAGUCAAUAGGUGCACUGAAGCCCAACACAUUGAGGAGGUUUGUAAGAUUCAAAGGGAAGGCCCUUUGACAAAGGAAGAAGUUGAUGAAAUUCGCGACAUGUGGGCUUUUUUUGUGACAUUUGAUGGCAUCUAGGUAGAAUAUAUAAUGUAUAUGUGUUAGUUAAAUAAUGAAUGAGAUUGAGUUUUUUUUUUAUUUAUGAACAAUUAAUAUUUAGUUACUAUAUCUUUUUUAUUUUUAUUAAAUCCAUAUGUACAUUAUAUUACUUAUUUGUAAUUAGUACUAUACAUUAUUUAUGAGUUUUAUAUA